AACGAACGCUGGCGGCAGGCCUAACACAUGCAAGUCGAACGCCCGUAGCAAUACGGGAGUGGCAGACGGGUGAGUAACGCGUGGGAACGUGCCCUUCGGUUUGGAAUAACUCAGGGAAACUUGAGCUAAUACCAAAUACGUCCGUAAGGAGAAAGAUUUAUCGCCGAAGGAUCGGCCCGCGUCGGAUUAGCUAGUUGGUGAGGUAACGGCCCACCAAGGCGACGAUCCGUAGCUGGUCUGAGAGGAUGAUCAGCCACACUGGGACUGAGACACGGCCCAGACUCCUACGGGAGGCAGCAGUGGGGAAUAUUGGACAAUGGGCGAAAGCCUGAUCCAGCCAUGCCGCGUGAGUGAAGAAGGCCUUAGGGUUGUAAAGCUCUUUCAGCGGGGAAGAUAAUGACGGUACCCGCAGAAGAAGCCCCGGCUAACUUCGUGCCAGCAGCCGCA
rnacentral:rRNA from 1 species